GUCAAGUUUGUGGAGAAAAUUCUAGGAAUAUCUGCUGUUGCAAUGCACGAUCCCCUCCUCUCCGAGUCCAGAGACCCGGCUUCGCCCGAGUCCGGUGGUGAGGACUUUCUGGUCGAAGGCUCAGUUGGAAACUGGGCAGACCAUGUAGAGUGUGCUGACGGGUCAGCUGGAUUUGAGCCGGGCCCGACCGAGGGCGCUGGCCAGCCGCUAUCCGGGCUAGCUUGUUACCAGGAGGACGAUGACGUGCUGGACAUCGGCUUGGAUGUGCAGGGUUUUUCGGAGGAUGAGCAGGAGCCGUUGUCUUCGGGUCAGUAUGCCGCCGCUGCUGCGCCGGUUGAUCUGGACGACACAUCCCUCCUCUCACUACCGCCGUGCAGCUGAGAAACUGGAAGUAGGAUGGCCCUCUCCUCCACCGGCUCAAAAACCGUCGCGGUUCUCGGGGUUUUUUCUCCCACCCGAACCGACGACUGUUAAGAACAGUUUGCCCAUGUUCCCGGAUUUUGUCGCGGAACUAACCUCGACAUGGGACAAGCCGCUGUCCACCCGCGCCACAGUGCCCGGUUGUGGACAGUUUCUGGACCUGGAUGGAGCUGAAAAAGCUGGAUUGGUGAACCCUCCGCCUAUGGAGGCGUCCCUGGCAGCUUAUCUGGCCCCGGCCCAGAAUUAUGGUGUCGGUAGCCCCAUCACGCUCCCAUCCAAGCACUGCAGGUUUUCAGCGUCACAGCUGGAUAAAAUUUACAGGACACAGGCAAAUACGGCUCGUGCACUGAGCUCGUCACCAUGCUUCAGACAUAUCAAGCUAUGUGUCUGGCGGAACUCGGCUCGAGUAUGCGUCCUGACAGUCCGCUUUCUCCUCUCCUCAAUGAAGCUAGGGUCGCCACAGAUUACAUCCUCCGUGUGUCCCGCUAUGCAGCGCUCUCUCUCGGUAGAGGCAUGGCUUCCACGGUGGUGGCGCAGAGGCACCUAUGGCUGACUCUCUCCGACGUUCCGGAGAGGGACAGAGCGGUUUAUCUCGACGAGCCUGUGUCGGCCAGCGGUUUGUUUGGGCAGUCCCUCGACGACAUUCAGGCUAAGAUUGAGCUGAGGAAAAAACAAACCGAAGCUUUGAGCAGCAUCAUUCCCAGGCGUGAUGCGAGGCCCAAACAACAGGGUUAUAUUCAUUUUUUGCCGCCAAAGAGGCCGCGUUUAAUGUUUGUUCAGGGGUCCGGUCCCGAGAGGCGCUGCACUCCCUUAACACAGUUUUCCCAAGCACAAUCCUCCCUCACACACAUGCCCCAGUAAUGGCGCCUGUUGUUCACUGAGUGAAUGUUACAAAUGUGCGUUCGUCGAGUCUAAUAAAGGUUUCGUUUUGUUCUCAAAACAUCAUAAAUCAAUCAAGUCUGGGCGGGAAAGUAUUGCUGUUCCCAGCCGGCACGCUAGAGGGCGACAACCCCUCCCCCACAGUACUAGAGGUCAUUCGACAUUCUGUUCGUCUCCCCCGGUGGUGCGCAUGCGCAGUCUCACCGUGGGGAGAGAGAACCGUUGCCAUGGGCUACUGUUUACAGUUCGGGGCCCGGCCGCCUCGCUUUCAUACUGUAAUACACACAGUUGUAGCAGAGGAAGCAGCAGUGCUGAGGGAAGAAAUAAACAACUUGUUGAACAAGAGAGCGAUAUGAGUUGUUCCCGCUUCGGAAACGAACAAAGGUUGGUACAGCCGCUAUUUCGUUGUUCCGAAAAAAGGAGGAGGGCUCCGUCCUAUCCUAGACUUGCGAGUGUUAAACAAAUACCUACGAACUUACAGGUGCAAGAUGCUAACACUCAGACAGCUACUGGGCGAAAUCAGACCGGGAGAUUGGUUUACAACUAUCGAUCUGACAGAUGCUUACUUUCACGUAGCGAUUCAUCCGGACCACAGGCACUUUCUAAGGUUUGCAUUCGAGGGCAUAGCCUACGAAUACCUGGUGCUGCCGUUCGGCUUAUCACUCGCCCCCGAACAUUCACCAAAUGUGUCGAGGCGGCAUUGGCUCCACUAAGGGAGAAAGGUGUGCGCAUCUAAGCCUAUCUGGACGACUGGGUGCUAAUCGCGAGCUUCAGAGAGCGAGCGGCGGCUCAGCUGUCAUUGACCCUAUCGCACAUCCAAACACUGGGCUUUUUCCGUAAAUUUACAGAAAAGUUCACUGACUCCGAGUCAACAGGUGUCAUUUCUCGGGCUGGAAAUAUGCUCCGUUUCAAGCCGAGCGUGUCUGUCAGAACGCAGGGUGGCUGCGUUUCACCGCUGCUUUGCACAAUUUCAGUUGGGACGCAAACUGUGUUUCCGGUCGAUUUUAAAGCUGACAAGCAUGAUGGCAUCUAUGAUCGCUGUAGUGCCGCUCGGACUGUUAAAAAUGAGAGCGUUUCAACGCUGGACUCAGUCUCACCGGCUGUGCGCGCAGCGUCACCUCCAGAGGAGGCUGACGAUAACUCCGUCUUGCAUGUCGGCUCUUCUCCCGUGUAGAGACCCCGGUUUUCUACAACGGGGAUCUCCGAUAGGGAGGGUGUCUUUUCGCAAGGUGGUCUCCACAGACGCAUCCCUGAGGGGUCGGGGGGCUCUGUGCGAGGGCGCAGCAGUGAGAGGUGUGUGGACGCCAGCAUAAUGCAAGCUCCACAACAAUUACCUGGAGCUAUUAGCUAUCCUAUUAGCUCUGAGGCAUUUUCGUCCGGUUCUGACGGGCCAUCAGGUUCUGAUCGGGCGGAAAACACAACCAUGGUUUCCUACAUAAACAAACAGGGAGGGUCAUGCUCUCUUCCCCUGUCAAAACUGUCUCACUCUCUGUUGCUAUGGUGCAGUGUUCGUUUUCUGUCACUCAGAGCCACACAUAUUCCGGGUCACUUAAACCUUGGGCCAGACCUUCUCUCCAGGGGGGUCGUCUUGUGAGAGAGUAGAGAUUGCAUGUCAGGACCGAAAUGUACUCCCAUUUCAAAGUUCUAUUGUGGAUGUUUUAACAUUCCUUCAGGAGCGGCUGGAUAGGGGUCUCUAUUUCUCAACAAUUAAAGUCUAUUUGGCAGCUGUAUCUGCAUGCCAUGUUGGCUUAGAUGGUGUGUCGCCAGGCGCUCACCCUCUUACUAUGCACUUCCUAAAGGGAGUCCGCAGGCUGAGACCUGUGCUUAAACCCAGUGUUCCCUCAUGGGAUUUAGGGUUGGUGCUUGGGGCUCUUGGUGGACCUCAUUUGAGACCGUUGAGUCAGCAGACAUGAAAUUGCUUUCAUACAAGACUGCACUGCUACUUGCUUUGGCGAGUGGAUGACCUUCAUGCUUUGUGCAUCCUUUUUGUAUCCAGUUCACUCUCUACAUUGCGCCCAAAUGCAGCGUAUUUGCCUAAGAUUAUCCCCACAGCCUAUAGCUCUAUGAGUUUUGAACUACUGAGCUUCUGCCGUCCUCCAUUUGCAUCUGAGGAGCAGAGGAGGUUGCAUUCCUUGUGCCCUGUGCGUGCACUACGCACUUACAUAGACCGCACUCAGAGUGUGCGCUUAUGUUACCAGUUGUUUGUCUGUUUUGCUAAUCCAGCCUAAGGCAAGGCACUGUCUAAACAGCAGCUUUCCCGCUGGAUUGUGGAGGCUAUCUCCUUAGCAUACGGCAGCAGGGGUCUUCCAUUGCCCCAAGGUGUGAGGGUACAUUCAACCAGGGGAAUGGCAGCCUCAUAGGCCUUGUUUAAAGGGGUUUCUGUGAGUGAUAUCUGCACUGCAGCCAGUUGAUCAUCACCGCACAGUUUUGUUCGGUUUUAUUGUUUGGAUGGGACAGCCCCUUCAGUGGCUCACUCUGUCCUUUCUGCUGGGUCUACAGUGCACUAAAGUUUUG